GCGAAAUUAUCAUUGCUAAUUUGAUAUUGUAUUCUUUCUAAGUAAGUUUAUUGUUUCUUUGUCAUUAUAAACGCAAAUAGCGUUCAGCAUCAUCGAUCUUUCACGUGACCUCUGGCCUGGAUUUAAAAUUUUUACCGGUAUUUUCGAGUGCAUGGCGGCACAAAUUCAUUCGUUCGUGCGCUCAGGCUGGUUGCUUCUUUUUCGCUAAAACUAGUUUGUUGCGCUUCGAUGUCACGCGUUAUUUAACCUGGGGUGAAGUGACGUGUUUGCAAGCGGACAUGCAAGCCCGAAAGUUGGGUAUCGGUCGUGAGCCAUUCGGAACACGUCUGCAUCGAAACGGGAGCUGGAUUCUGGUGCGGCUGACAACGGCAAUAACGACAUGCAGUAAUGAGGAUGGCACCAGUAUAAAGCAACACACUCCACACACUAAACAGAAGCUGCUGCCUGCUACAACAAGGCCAUUGUGUGGACAUUGGCUGCUACUACAAGGUAAACAACAUGUGGUUCAGAAAUAAGUAUGCCUGAUAUAUGCUGUAUUGUCUUGCUAGUCUUGAGAUACAUGUCAUUUGUUUGCAGCAGAAAUGAAUGUUUGCUCAUGUUUAUGGUUCAGUAUAAUUGGUUCGAACAUAAAAGAAAACACACAUGAGUUUGGCUAAUCUGUGCUGUAUCUCAUGUGUCACCGUUCUGCCCCAACAGAGUCCAUGCCAAGCAUACCUUGGUCAUCACAGGAGCUCCUAUCCACACCAACAGAAAGGGGCUGGAGCUGAAUUUGCAAGGCUUUUACACCACGAACAAAGAAGCGCAUGCAGAAGAACUUACAUGAGAUAUCAAGUCUGCAGAGCACUGUGUCAAGACUGAAAAGAGCUUCAGCCACCAUUCCACCAGCGCGGACAAAUUGGCUGAGUCAUCCAGGUAACUCAAAAAGGACUUUAUGGAAAUUCUUCGUCUCCAGAUGUGCCUGCAACUUCUGAUCAAGCACGGACGACGCUGGCCAAAAGAGUUCCAUCAGUUUGCCCUUAAUCAGCUUCCUGGCCAUGUCAAUUCCAUUUGUGCCAAGUGUAAUUUUUCUUCUAUAAAUGCAAGCUUUUUCAUUGUCCAUUCUUGUUAGAGAUCAUUCAUCCUCAUCCAAACAUAAAGGUCAACCGAUUCUUCGCUGAUACUUAAUACCAGUCACUGUCUAGUAGCAUAACAUAUUUGUAGCAGUACCUUUUAAUGCAUGUUGUCAUGCACAAUUCCUCUCCUGAAAUAGCUGAUGCAACAUCGACAUGUUUCUUGCAUUAACCUACGCACUGUUUGCUAUGCACCAUUUUACUUUUCUUGAUGUUUUUGGCCUUCAGUGCUUGCAGAGCAGGGUGGCUUCUCUCUUGAAUGCAAGCUUUCUCAUUUUCCAUAUUCCUAGUCUCGUUGAUGGUUGCUCUUCUUCCUCGAUAGCCUGGGUCUUUGCGCAAGCUACACUGAAUGAUAGAUUGCAGAAUCUGGUUUUGCUGCCCCACUUGGUUGUGGUCGCCGUGUUACAUUUCUCGGAUGUGGGGGCCUGCUCAGUUACAUUGGUAAGCAGUCUCUCGAGGUAAGCAUUUGCUCCUGCAGUCCGCACAGCGGCAUAGACUCCCAAUUUACACACCAUGAUUCGUACUCCCCGUUCAGCCUUUCCUGCUGCAGCCAUGUGCAAAUUGUGCCUGCGGCCUUUCUCAGUCGCAAUUAAGCACGAACGGAGACAAGCAUACGUGCUUACAUGGUCCAACGUGUUUGAAGUUCAUAGCCACAUGGGUGGAAAGGCCCGCAUAAAUGGCUGCCGAAGGUGAUGCCCACGAAAGCGACUUGUCCAUAUUGAGACAAAGUGGGACGCCAAAUGUGAGCCACACAUUAGUGGCCCUCGACAGAAAAGAAACAUGCGGGUUGGAAAGGAGUUAACGCUAAAAUGCCGGAUAGUCCAUUUCGCUGUGUUGGUUGUGGCAGCAGAUGCCUGCAUCACCUGAUUUCUUCGCAAUGGAAGUUGCUCAUCUUCAACGGCAACUGUCGGUUCAAACAGGUGCGACGCUCUGUCCAAUCUGUUUGUACUGCUGUUUGUCGCUCGUUACCAGACCACCACAUGCGACGAAGGCAAGCAUUAUGCCUGUAAGUAGGCGGCUGAAUGUAUCCUAAGAGACCCGUGUACGUGAAUGCUCACUGUUGCCAUAUGGUUUGUAGCCAAUGUAUAACGUAUUCUCUGAACACUAUGUGGUAAAUGAUUGCCGUUUAUUUUUGCUGCUAUCUCACUUGGUUACGGUCGCCGUAUUAUGCUUAUCGGAUGUGGGGGCCUGGUCAGUUGCAUUGGAAAACAGUCUCUCGAGGUAAGCAUUUGCUCCUGCAGUCCGCACAGCGACAUAGACUCCCAGUGUACACACACCAUAACUGGUGCUCCCCGUUCAUUUUUUCCUGUUGCAGCCAUGGGCAAAUUGUGCUUGUGGCCUACCUCGGCCAUGAUUUGCUCAAAACUGAGACCAGCAUAUGUGCUUACAUGGUUCGAAGUGUAUGAAGUUGAUAGCCGUACGGGGGCAAAUGGCUGCCAAAGGUGAUGCCCACGAAAGCGACUUGUCCAUAUUGAGACAAAGUGGGACGCCAAAUGUGAGCCACACAUUAGUGGCCCUCGACAGAAAAGAAACAUGCAGGUUGGAAAGGAGUUAACGCGAAAAUGCCGGAUAGUCCAUUUCGCUGUGUUGGUUGUGGCAGCAGAUGCCUGCAUCACCUGAUUUCUUCGCAAUGGAAGUUACUCAUCUUCAACGGCAACUGUCGGUUCAAACAGGUGCGACGCUCUGUCCAAUCUGUUUGUACUGCUGUUUGUCGCUCGUUACCAGACCACCACAUGCGACGAAGGCAAGCAUUAUGCCUGUAAGUAGGCGGCUGAAUGUAUCCUAAGAGACCCGUGUAUGUGAAUGCUCACUGUUGCCAUAUGGUUUGUAGCCAAUGUCUAACGUAUUCUCUGAACACUAUGUGGUGAAUGAUUGCCGUUUAUUUUUGCUGUUAUCUCACUUGGUUACGGUUGCCGUAUUAUGCUUAUCGGAUGUGGGGGCCUGGUCAGUUGCAUUGGAAAACAGUCUCUCGAGGUAAGCAUUUGCUCCUGCAGUCCGCACAGCGGCAUAGACUCCCAAUUUACACACCAAGAUUCGUGCUCCCCGUUCAGCCUUUCCUGCUGCAGCCAUGUGCAAAUUGUGCCUGCGGCCUUUCUCAGUCGCAAUUAAGCACGAACGGAGACAAGCAUACGUGCUUACAUGGUCCAACGUGUUUGAAGUUCAUAGCCGCAUGGGUGGAAAGGCCCGCAUAAAUGGCUGCCGAAGGUGAUGCCCACGAAAGCGACUUGUCCAUAUUGAGACAAAGUGGGACGCCAAAUGUGAGCCACACAUUAGUGGCCCUCGACAGAAAAGAAACAUGCAGGUUGGAAAGGAGUUAACGCUAAAAUGCCGGAUAGUCCAUUUCGCUGUGUUGGUUGUGGCAGCAGAUGCCUGCAUCACCUGAUUUCUUCGCAAUGGAAGUUGCUCAUCUUCAACGGCAACUGUCGGUUCAAACAGGUGCGACGCUCUGUCCAAUCUGUUUGUACUGCUGUUUGUCGCUCAUUACCAGACCACCACAUGCGACGAAGGCAAGCAUUAUGCCUGUAAGUAGGCGGCUGAAUGUAUCCUAAGAGACCCGUGUAUGUGAAUGCUCACUGUUGCCAUAUGGUUUGUAGCCAAUGUAUAACGUAUUCUCUGAACACUAUGUGGUGAAUGAUUGCCGUUUAUUUUUACUGUUAUCUCACUUGGUUACGGUCGCCGUGUUAUGCUUAUCGGAUGUGGCGGCCUGGUCAGUUGCACUGGAAAGCAGUUUCUCGAAGUAAGCAUUUGCUCCUGCAAUCUGCACAGCGACAUAGACUCCCAAUUUACACACCGCGAUUCGUGCUCCCCGUUCACGUCCAGCCUUUCCUGCUGCAGCCAUGGGCAAAUUGUGCCUGUUGCCUUUCUCGGCCGCGAUUAAGCACGAACGGAGACCGGCAUACGUGCUUACAUGGUCCGACGUGUGUGAAGUUGGGUGCAAAGGCCCGCAAAAGUGGCUGAUGAAGGUGAUGCCCACGAAAGCGACUUGUCCAUAUUGAGACAAUGUGGGACACCAAGUGCGAGCCACACAUUAGCGGCCUCCGAAAGAAAAGUAACGUGCAGGUUGUAAAGGAGUUAAGGCUAAAAUGCCGGGUAGUCCAUGUCGCUGUGUUGGCUGCGGCAGCAGAUGCCUGGUUCACCCGAUUGUUUCGCAGUGCAAGUUGCUCAUCUUUAACGGCGACUGCCGCAGCAAACAGGCGGGACACUGACCAAUCUGCAUGAGCCGCUGGUUGUCGCUCGUUACUAGACCGCCAUGUGUGACGACGACGGUGAGCCGUUUACGAGCUCGCGUCAAAGAUUCCAGUGUAUCUCGACAUACAAAUUUUAUUUCUGCUAUUGCACGAGAAUGUACAUACACUGCUUGUCUUCUGCCAAUAAAGUCGCACGUUCUGUUCA